CCAAACUAAUGCCCACAGAUGUCUUUAGAAAGAGGCUAGAUGGCUACCUGCUGGGGAAGCUCUCACUGGAGAUUCUGCAAUGAGCAGGGAACUGAUGCUAUGGAUGAUGAGGAUUCUUCCAGUUCUAUCAUUCACCAUUCUCUUAUCUGGAGUCAAGGCUUCAUGACAAUUUCGAAGAAAGGAAAAUAAAGAAUGAUCUUCUGGCAGAUAGAUUGUUAUGAAAUACUUAGUCUGACAAUGGAUCAAGGUACCUGGAAAAUGUACUGUUUCCCAGUAUGAUAGGAAUACAACUUUUUUUACAACUGAAAGAAUGCCACCUGCUGACUGACUGAACCAAAAUCUCGCUUUCUGAAAAGUCAGCCAUGCAUAAAAAAUGCAAUUGCAUGGCUGAGAAGAGAAGCCAGUCUGGCAAAACAGCUGCAAGGAUAAGAAAGUAUCAGAUAACAGAAGAUUAAGAACACAGAGCAGAGUGCAUUAGUUUAACAUCCUACUUUACUACUUCCCUCAUAACUGGAAACUGCAAUGUUCUACCUUCAAUUAUAUUAUUUUCUACAGUUUCUGCCCCAGGAAAGUUCUUCGUUUACGUGGCAAAAACUUUGAUGGGAAAAUUGUUUUUUAAAAUACCAUUUGAAAUAUAAAUACAGUUUAAAAUGUUAAUGGGGUUUGGGAUUACCCACAAGUGCAAAAUGAUAAUCAAUUCAUUUAUGUGCUCUGUAUGAAACAACUGUCCCCAUAUAUCUUUCAUUUGCGUGAAUGUGACCCUGCAUUUAUUUUCUUAUCUUGGCCAGAUUCUAUUUUCUGGCUAUUGAAAAUUGUGA
rnacentral:lncRNA from 1 species